GAUGAACGCUGGCGGCGUGCUUAACACAUGCAAGUCGAACGAAGCUCCUAAACCUGAGAUUCGUCAAGGGGGCAGGAUGACUUAGUGGCGGACGGGUGAGUAAUGCGUGAGCAACCUGCCUUUCAGAGGGGGACAACAGUUGGAAACGACUGCUAAUACCGCAUAAUGUAUUCGAGUGGCAUCACUUGGAUACCAAAGAUUUAUCGCUGAAAGAUGGGCUCACGUCUGAUUAGCUAGUUGGUGAGGUAAUGGCUCACCAAGGCUGCGAUCAGUAGCCGGACUGAGAGGUCGAACGGCCACAUUGGGACUGAGAUACGGCCCAGACUCCUACGGGGGGCAGCAGUGGGGAAUAUUGGGCAAUGGGCGCAAGCCUGACCCAGCAACGCCGCGUGAAGGAAGAAGGCUUUCGGGUUGUAAACUUCUUUUGGCAGGGACGAAACAAAUGACGGUACCUGCAGAAUAAGCUCCGGCUAACUACGUGCCAGCAGCCGCGGUAAUACGUAGGGAGCAAGCGUUAUCCGGAUUUACUGGGUGUAAAGGGCGCGUAGGCGGGAAUGCAAGUCAGAUGUGAAAUCUGAGGGCUCAACCCUCAAACUGCAUUUGAAACUGUAUUUCUUGAGUGAUGGAGAGGCAAGUGGAAUUCCUAGU
rnacentral:rRNA from 1 species